rnacentral:rRNA from 1 species
UACGUAGGGGGCUAGCGUUGUCCGGAAUCAUUGGGCGUAAAGAGCGUGUAGGCGGCCCGGUAAGUCCGCUGUGAAAGUCCAGGGCUCAACCCUGGGAUGCCGGUGGAUACUGUCGGGCUCGAGUCCGGAAGAGGCGAGUGGAAUUCCUGGUGUAGCGGUGAAAUGCGCAGAUAUCAGGAGGAACACCAAUGGCGAAGGCAGCUCGCUGGGACGUGACUGACGCUGAGACGCGAAAGCGUGGGGAGCAAACAGGAU